CAGCAGCCGCGGGAAUACGAAGGGUGCAAGCGUUACUCGGAAUUACUGGGCGUAAAGCGUGCGUAGGUGGUUGUUUAAGUCUGCUGUGAAAGCCCUGGGCUCAACCUGGGAAUUGCAGUGGAUACUGGGCAACUAGAGUAAGGUAGAGGAUAGUGGAAUUUCCGGUGUAGCAGUGAAAUGCGUAGAGAUCGGAAGGAACAUCUGUGGCGAAGGCGACUAUCUGGGCCAUUACUGACACUGAGGCACGAAAGCGUGGGGAGCAAACAGGAUUAGAUACCCCAGUAGUCCCUGUCUCUUAUAC
rnacentral:rRNA from 1 species